GAUCAACUGCUAUAGACAUUUUUGAAUCGGGACAAAUGUGGAGUGAUUCGGAAGAAAAACGUUUGCAACACAUCCAUUCCAGAGUGCUCUGACAGAUAAAACUGACACGCUUGAUGAGGACACAGUCAAAGCUUUAAAAGACCGUGUGAUAAAGCAGUCUUCAAUUACUA